rnacentral:rRNA from 1 species
GACGAACGCUGGCGGCGUGCUUAACACAUGCAAGUCGAACGGAAAGGCCCUGCUUUUGUGGGGUGCUCGAGUGGCGAACGGGUGAGUAACACGUGAGUAACCUGCCCUUGACUUUGGGAUAACUUCAGGAAACUGGGGCUAAUACCGGAUAGGAGCUCCUGCUGCAUGGUGGGGGUUGGAAAGUUUCGGCGGGUGGGGAUGGACUGGCGGCUGAUCAGCUUGUUGGUUGGGUAGUGGCUGACCAAGGCGUGGAGGGGUAGCGGGCCUGGGAGGGUGAACGGGCACAGUGGAACUGAGACAGGGACCAGACUCCUACGGGAGGCAGCAGUGGGGAAUAGUGGACAGGGGGCGGAAGGCUGAUCCAGCCAUACGGCGUGGGUGAAGAAGGCCCUCGGGUGGUAAAGCCCGUUUGUGGGGAAAGAAAAGCAGCAGGUUAAUACGCCGCUGUUCUGACGGUACCGAAAGAAUAAGCACCGGCUAACUUCGUG